rnacentral:rRNA from 1 species
UUUAUUUGAGAGUUUGAUCCUGGCUCAGGACGAACGCUGGCGGCGUGCCUAAUACAUGCAAGUUGAGCGAUGAAGAUUGGUAGCUUGCACCAAUUUGAAGAGCAGCGAACGGGU